rnacentral:ncRNA from 2 species
UAUUAAUAGCAUUGAUCAGGUGUUUACUUAAAAGGGAAAGUGGUUAAAAUCCACUGCAGCCCCCGCUACUGUAAGUGAUACAAGUUUCACAGCCACUGGGUUUAUUUAUACCGGGAAGGGUGAAAUGAGGCCAAGCACGAGCCAGGAGACCUGCCUGAAUCAUGAAUUAAUA